rnacentral:rRNA from 1 species
AUAGGCGAAAGCUUGACAGGGUUACUCUGAGUGAUUCCCGCUAAGGGGAUCUUUUGGCACCUCUAAAAAUGGUGCAGAAUAAGGGGUGGGCAAGUCUGGUGUCAGCCGCCGCGGUAAUACCAGCACCCCGAGUGGUCGGGACGAUUAUUGGGCCUAAAGCAUCCGUAGCCGGUACUGCAAGUCUUCCGUUAAAUCCACCUGCUCAACAGUUGGGCUGCGGGGGAUACUACAGCGCUAGGAGGCGGGAGAGGCAAGCGGUACUUAAUGGGUAGGGGUAAAAUCCACUGAUCCAUUGAAGACCACCAGUGGCGAAGGCGGCUUGCCAGAACGCGCUCGACGGUGAGGGAUGAAAGCUGGGGGAGCAAACCGGAUUAGAUACCCCCGUAGUCC